rnacentral:rRNA from 1 species
GAGGAAUAUUGGUCAAUGGGGGCAACCCUGAACCAGCCAAGUCGCGUGAAGGAUGAAGGUCUUAUGGAUUGUAAACUUCUUUUAUACAGGAAUAAAUUGGGGGACGUGUCCCCUUUUGCAUGUACUGUAUGAAUAAGGAUCGGCUAACUCCGUGCCAGCAGCCGCGGUAAUACGGAGGAUCCGAGCGUUAUCCGGAUUUAUUGGGUUUAAAGGGUGCGCAGGCGGGAUGUUAAGUCGGCGGUGAAAUUUUGCAGCUCAACUGUAAAAGUGCCUUCGAUACUGGCUUCCUUGAGUGUAGAUGAAGUGGGCGGAAUUUGUGGUGUAGCGGUGAAAUGCUUAGAUAUCACGAGGAACUCCGAUUGCGCAGGCAGCUUACUAAACUACAACUGACGCUCAUGCACGAAGGCGUGGGGAUCAAACA